UCGACAAAUAAGUGGCGCAUGCCUAACUCGUCCUAUAUUGUCGUGAUCUGCUUCUUUUUGCCGUAUUCCAACUAGUAAGUUUUGUUUUUUCCUUUGUUUUUAAGUCAUGGCUCGCACCUAUUCCUACUAUGCUAUUGUUAGGAACUCCUCUGGUCAAGACAGUGGCCCUCUGUUGUGACCCUCUUCGGGUGUGGGCACGCCUGACACCCCUCCUCUAGCAGUAGUUAGGCUUGACCCUCCCGGGGGUGUUCGGCCUAUACCUAAGGUGGUUUCCUCGUCCAGUGAGGAUGAUUCCUCUAACAUAUCUAAGUCCUCUAGCAAUGGCUCGGAAUCCGAAUCAGAUUCAAGUUCUAAGACACACUCUAGCGAGACAGCCUACAAGAGUUGGCGUAGGCAAGGAAGUGAGCGUAUCCGAAAAAGAUGAGAACGGUGCAGAGGUUGCCGAUGUUACGAAAGGUUCUACGAAUGAUGAGGGCGAGGGUUCCACUUUGCCAUUUGGUCCACGUUGAGCUGCCAACAAUAUCUUUGGGAGCCUUCCUGCAUUGAUCUUGGAGGUCUAUCGAGAAUGGUAUGGGAUUCCAGAGGACGUUGUGAUGCAAAUUCCUAGAAUCUAAUGAGGAUGAGGUUGCAAUGUACGAGGUUGCCUUCAUGAAUGGAUUGAGGAUCCCCGUGCUUGUGCUCGUCUGCGACACUCUAGACGACUUGGGGAUUUCCCCGAGGUAACAGAUGCCCAAUUCUUGUCACGUUCUGCUUGGGUUUGUUGUCUUUGUCGCCAAGCUAAAGCACAUUGCUACCAUUGGCCCCUUUGGUCAUUACUUUAUCUUGAAGUGGCAUAGCAUGAGCUGGUAUUACUUCACCCGUCGGGACAAGAGGAAACCCUAUGGGAUAGUGAGGUUUUUCAACCACAUGCCCACUUCUGUGAAGGGGUGGAAAGAUAUAUUCUUCUUGGUCAUGAUGGUGGGGAAUCCUUUUAAGACUUCUUGGGCCGAGCCUUCCCUAAAAAAGUUGAACUGAGCUCCCACCCUAAGCGAGGACGAGGCCCAGAUAGUCUAGAUGUGCUUGGACGAGGAAGCUGUGGACUUUCAGAUCCUCCAAGAAUAGAACUUAUUGCGGGAGUGGGACCUUAGCGAGUCCCCGAGAGAAGGUGAGGGUUCACGACUUGGGUAGCUGCAAAAGGCAAGGCCACGGGUGGCCAGUCCUCGGGUCAUGCUGAGGGGAAGAGGCAAGAGACAACUCCUGUGUCCUCAGCUCGGCCAACCACGAAGGUGCCCAAGGCGGUUGACAAGCAUGCUGUAAAGGAUGUAGCUUCUCUUUGAGGGACGAACAAAGGGAAGAACCCAAUGGGGCCUCCCCUUGCUUGUGGGAUCGUGGAGUAGGGUUCUUUGCCAUAGAGAUCUCCUUCUUAAUCAUUGAAUCAACCUAUAAACCAAAGUUAGGAGGGUCGGAAGAGGAGAAGGGAGGAAGAAUUGCUGACUGAUGGUGAUGAGGCAAGUGGGGGAACUGGCUCCACUUCCCUCGGAGGUCAUCAAUCUGGGAAGAGGGCCACUCUUCCUGUGUGGAAUCUGUUUGAAGAAGAUUCUUCCAUCGCGGACAAGGCGGUGGCUCAGAUUUGGGGUAGGCAAGGUCGGCUACGCCUAGACAUCGAAGGAGUUCGGGGGCACUAGGACCCAUACUUUUUUGAUUUCAUGUAUCAGCACAUUUACAAUGGGUUUAAUUGGUCGAGCGUGUAGCUGGUUUGAUAGAAUGGCUGCUCAGAAGCAUAAGGCCGAGCAGGAGGCUCAAUAGCUUUGGGAUCAGCUAGCCCAAGUCAGGGGGCAACUGGAGAUCUCAGGGAAGCAGUGUCAAGCUAAAAAGGCCAAGUCUACUGCCCAUGAGAAGAGAGCCGCUCAGCUAGAGGAGGAGGUCAUGAAGCAGCUCCUGGCCCAGAGUGAGCUUGUGAAAGCUAAAGAGUCGCUGCAGGCUGAGGCUACUGAGCUUCAAGAAGAACUUCGCAAGAAGGAAACUGCUCAGUAGUUGGCCAUCCAAUCUCUUACGGAGCAGCACUGCUCUGAACUCAAGCAGGUUGGGGAGAAAGCGGUGGAGAGAUAUGUGAUCUCCCCUGCAGGUCAGGAGUGGCUGCUCAACCUCAAUACCUCCUCUUUCAACUCUGGCUCUGAGACGAUGAUUAACUUCAUCCUGAAGAAGUACCCUACUCUUGACCUGAGUGAUUAUGAGCACUUGCUUCCCCCUCUUGAGUCUUCGAUGUUUGCAGGGAGGGCCGAUAGUAGAUGAAGUGGGGGAUGAGAUGAACCAGGAGGAGAAUGCUGCCACAGCUGAUAGGAAAAGAAGACCUCCGCUACCACUUGACCCGAGCUGCCUGCCUUCCUAUUUUUUGUCUUGAUGUAUAGAUGGCCGAACUCCUUCCUUAUUAUGGAUAUUUUUUUUCGAACAUGUACUCAUACAUUUUAUCGUUAAAAGAAACCUUCCUUUUUGUACUA